UUUUUUUUUUUUUGACCGAGCACCCAGAAAAGUGAUAGUGUCUUGCAUAGCAGAUUGCUAAAUAUUUUACUUCUCUUAUUAAAAAUUAAAAGUGCCCACAUGCGUGCACCCCUUACUGAAAAAUGCAUAAGAGAUACAUCAAGGUCAGUCAGGAGUAUCUUAACUAAGGACAUAAAGACCUAUCUGUUUCAGACUGCUUCUGAGCUGACAAUAGCAAAAUUACUGUCAGUCUUUUGUGCUGUAUACAGCUGAAACAGUUUAAAAUUGGUUAUAAGUCUCAAAGAGGAAAUUAUCUCUGAAGCACCAAAAGUGAAGGCAAUGUGUUUUUUUCCCAUCUAUGAUGCUGGAGCAGGACGAUCCCAAACAAUAUGGGAUCUCUGUAUUCCUGCUGUGUGGACCUUAACUGGCAUACUUAUUUUCUCAUGCCCCAUAUUUGCUCAUUAAAAAGAACCCACUGAAUUUUGUACAUCAGAUUUUGAUGGAAUAGUAAAAACUAUCCCCCUAACAAAGCCUAACAUGUUUCAAACAGAACUUCCCAUAACUUCAAAAAAACCUUUGUUCAUGUGUUCUUAUAUUACAGUCUCAAAGAAACAACCGAAGCUGCCUGUCAGAGGUAUGAGCUGGGAAAAGGUCAGAGGCUGUCCAUACUAUCUAGAACAGAAGGAAUGUAAAUACACAAAGAGCAAAACCCAUGGCUGGUGUCAUGCAGUGCCACCUGCACCUGAAGCUGUGAAUUGUAUGUGAUUUUUCAGUAAGGCUGAGGAGGCUUACUGUUGCUUCUGAUGUAGCAUUGAUGUAGAAUGGCUCUUGAUCAGAUGUAUAACACAGACAUAAAAUGGAGGGAAUAUUAGUAAUGUUUAUUGUUUCAAAGUAUGCUUAUUCAAGGUACAGGAAAGUGAACUUCUGUGAUGUAAGUUCUGAUCCAGACAAGUGCAGUUGUGGGAGGCUCAGUCUGGAAUGGACUAUGUUGAGAAACAUAAAGCAGAGCUCCAGGGGCUCUGUGCUAGAUAGCUUUUUUUCACCACUGUGUUUCAGCCAAGAGCAGUUUCAGAAAUAGCAUACAGAUCUCUUUGUUAUGCAAAACAGGCCAAAGUGCCAAGAACAUUUUGAGAAACAAAAAGACGGAGUUAGGAAAGCCCAUACUCAGCAGGAGUUGAUAUGAUCAAGGUACAGGAAGAGCAGCAAUAAGGGAUUCUAUGGAAAAGUCUAAGACUCCCAGUGAGACCUUUGCCUUGAUUUUUUACUAGAUGUGUUUGUCUUCAGGUCCCUAAGCCUAUUAUCAAGGCCUUGGAAAAUGAAACGUGGCCCAGGGUAAGGGAGGGUGGAGUAAAGGACUGCUUAAGCAGGCUGGAUGCAACAACCCCAUGAGACCAGUUGGAAUGACCCCCAGGAUUUUGUGGGAGCUGGCUGAUGUCCCUGUGACACACUCUGUACAACCUUCAAAUUAACGGUGUUUCAGAGAGAGGUUUCCGAUGACUUGAGAAAGGUAAAUAAUGUAUAGCCUUGUUCAAAAGGGUCGAGAAGGUGGGUCUAAGGAUAUCAAGCUGGCCAGCCUCACCUUAGGUCCAUGGUAAGAUUAUGAAGCGAGUCCCCUGGGAAGCCAUGUCCAGAUGAUGGAAGGAGAAUAAAGUGUUUGGGAGUAUGGACAAUGUCCUUAGCAAUGACAAAUCACACCAGACUGGCUGGAUUGCCUUCUGUAACAUCCCAUGUAGACAAGAGGUAAGAAGUGGGUACUGUUUCCUCAGCUCAGUGAGGCCUUCCAAGCAAUCUCCUGUAGUAUAUUCACAGAUGGAUUGGCGGGAUAUAGAUACCACAGACAAACUAUACAGCAGGUGGAAAAGUUUCUGGAUGGCCAGGCUCAUAAAAUAAUUAUGAGACAGAAUUAUGAAAUCUGCCGCUGGGUACUUGUGACAUUGCGUAGGAAUCAGUCAGGGACUAGGAAGUGUUUCAAGUAACAUUUUGCUUGUAGAUUUUGUAAUUAUGAAUCUUUUGAUUCUAAAUAAAAGGCAAAAUUUUCUAACUUUCAGACUCUUUAAGAAACUGAAUCAGAGCAUAUGCUAUAAUUUUUUACUUUCUUGGCCCUCCUAAGAUGUUUUUCCUUUCUUUGAUACUUAUUGUGUUAUAUUUGUCAGUCUGUAACUAUCAAUCUGUUGAGACAAGACUGGUCAUAUCAAACUAUUGCUAGAUGUAAUAAAGGAAGCAUUUUACUACACAUGAGAAGAAAUGUCUAUUGCCAAUAGUUUUUCACUUUGCCAUCCUUUACUGUGGCUGUCCUAAUCCCAAACACUUUUGGGAGGUCUCCUGCAUUAGCUUGAGUGCCUUUUCAGUGGUAGCAGUAAAAAUUGCUUUAGAAUUAAAAAAAACCCUAGGUGUGAUUUACCUAGUGCUGGUGAUAGGUUGGCUGGUGGACACAACAACAAAAAAUUUCAAAUUUUUGAAAUAAUCAAAUUUUGGCAUAAUCAAAUUCCCUGUACUUUUAAAAAUUCAAUUUCUUUUCACAGAAAGGAGUGACUUUCUAAUCACUAGUGAACAACACAGGUCUUGAGAAAAAGUUAUUUUUCCCUUUGUACCAAGUAGUCCUCAUCAGUGCUCCAGCACUCCCUGUAGAUAAUACUUGCACAUAUUUUCCUUUAAAUGGUACUUUUAACAAGCACAAAGAAUACGAAAAUUUGCUUUCCUGAAAUGAAUGGCAAAGCCCCAGUCACUGUCUGGUCCUCAUCCACAGGACCUAGGCAAAUUCAUAUUCUUUUCUGCAGAUCCAGCAGAGGGAGCUUGUUUUACCCAGAAGUAAAAAUGGUCAAUUGAAAUAGCAUGUAGUUUAAAUUUUAGGGAAUGAAAACAUUGCCUAACCACAUGAAAAAAGUCAAAAUUAUAUUAAACAAGUUAUUAAGUCUUAACAGACAAAUAAUUUGGAAUGGUUUCAUGCACAAUUGUGUAGUCUAGUAAUACAAUGUAAAAACUCUAAACCAAACCAAACGAAGCCAAACCAAAACAAAACAAAAAACAAACCAGCAAAGCCUGCAAUCUGUGUUUCACUGUUAUAACAUUUUCAUUGUGCUACAUGUUUAGUCAAAGUGAAGUCUAAAACCUGGAUGAGGUCUGUCAUUUCAGUUAUUGUAAAAAUGUAUAUCAUGAGAGGCACGGCAGUUACCUCUUUCUGCUUAAAUUAUUAUUUGUAUAGGGCAACAGCACGUAAGUAAAACUAAGAAGUUGUAUUCGUUAAUACAUAGGAAGGCUUUAAAUACUAUUAUCAUUGCUCAGACUGUUGUUAAGCAUGUAAGUAACAUUUAGAAUAUCAUUGUAUGUGCUGCUGCAGUUAAAAUUAUACAGCUGUUGUGGUUUACCUUCUUUCAUUUGUUUCAUCUAAGAUUAAAAAAUCAUCUUUCUAUUAGCCAUGAUCAUUUACUUUGUUGCCUUAUUUUACAGCUAUUAAAAAUAAUGUUGUCUGGAUUUCACAAAUAUGAAAAAGAAGGAUUUAUUGUUAGAUGUCUUGCUGAAGACUGGGCAAGAACAGAGAAGAGAAAUCAAAUAUCUGGGCUCUAUUUGGUUUGCUCUCCCCAGAAAAUACCACAGCAAUGACUGUAGAGUGAGGACACUGAUAGCAUGCUGCAAAAUGGGGGAACAUAAGGUCAGGUUUGAUUAACAUUUCUUAGUAUUGGUUGUUACAGAAGAAGUGAUUAAUUGUCUCUGGCUUACAUUAACCUUUCCAGGUUAAAUCCAUUUAAGACAACUUAUAUAAUUAUUUUUUGGUAAUUGCUUGGUUGCAUAAAUAUCAGGAUACUAUAGCUGUAAUUGCUACUAAUGCAUCCCAAACAGAGUUAUUUAAUUAUGCUUAGGAAUAUAUCUGAUUUUGAAAUGACACUGACAUAUAAUUUAUAUUAUUAGUAUCUCAAUAUCAUAGGCAAUGUACUAUCUCUUCUGAGAAACAGAGAUUUGCUAACAUUAAGAAAUUACUUUCUCACAGUGCCUUUGAGAGUCAAUUUACAGGUGUGUUCUAGUUUUGGCCAGGACCUUCUGAGAAGAAGGAUGAAAAUACUGUGCCAUUUCCUGCCAUUUUUCUUUGUCUCUAUGUCUAUGGUGAGCAUUUUUGCAUUUGGAUCACCCUCUUUUCCAUACUUUUGUUUUUAAUACUGUUGCUGUUACUGUUGUUGCUAUUGUUUUUUUAUCUCAUUGCUGUUUAAAGUAAAUUGUUCAUAUAUCAAUCUGUGAUCUUCACCUUUUGUACCUCCAAAUCUCAACUCCAUCCUGCCCAGUGACAAGGGGAAAUGCAGAAAGGGAGUGAACGAGCAGCACUUGAUUUGGGAGAGUCUCGGUGGGGCACUGAGUGGGGAAAUACCAUUCCUAAACCACGAUAAGGGCCUGCUUAGAGGAUGACCACAAGGCUGGUUAUGCCAGUGGUUAUGACCAGGUUGUACCCUCUGGUGAGGGUAGCAGUGAUUAACAGAGGAGAAAUGGCAGCAGGAAACCCAGUUCAAUUACGAAAAGAACAGGAUGUGAAACUGCAAUCACUUUACAGCCCCAAACUUUAUAAAACCUCUUUCCUCCUCACAUGUUUAAGAUGAUUCUAAUGUACAUCAAAAAGGGAAAGAUAGGAACAUGGUGGGAAUUAUGUGGCUAACAACACUCCUGCUUACAGAGAAAACCUGGUGUCACUUUCCUUUUGACAACAUGUACAACUAUUGCCUUUUUUUUUCCCCCAAAAAAAUUAUGUAUUAAAAGCAAAUUUUCAAUGAAACAAAUCAUAUCAUAUAAAUGAAAAUCAGAAUUUCCCAAAUAUUCAAAAUGUAGACACAAUUGGUUAAAUCACUAUGAAAUAACAUUUUUCUCUGUUUAGGAUCACAUUAAUAACACUGAACAGAUUUUAAUAGUUUUUAAUUAAUUUCUGAGGUUUAGUUUAUAAUCAAGUUCCUAGACUCAUUUUUAACCUGGUAAUAUUUUAACAUUUUGUUAUUUCACAGAUAUCAAUUGACCAAUUGUUUGAGUUUUUCUAAAAAUAGGUAUUCCCUAAAAAUGUUCAAAUGUUUCUCAGACUAUUCAAUUGCAGAGCACGGGAUAAUGAAUUAAAUUUCUACAGGAAGUCAGAAGCUUGACAUUAUUGUGCCUGUUUCUUAUGAGCUCUUGCUAGCUAAAUCUUAACUACUAGAAAAAUAUAAACCACAUAAUUUUUAUACUCUGAAGCUUUGGAGCAUAACAAAACAUCAUGAAUAUGAGAUCUUAACUACUUUUAGUUGCAUGUAGAAUCUUAAAUAAGACAAUUGAUGAUUUCGGUGAUAUUUCUGUGGGACAUGGUAGAAAUUUUAUGGCUUUUUCAAUUGUUUGCAUUCAGAUAAAAUAAAAGACCACAUCAUGAAAUGUAAUGUCUUUCGAACUUUAGGAAUGAAAACAGUACAAAGUACAUUCUGUCAUCCCCUGAGCACACUUUCCUUACUCCAAAUAGCAUGUUGAAGAAGUAAUUUGCACUACAAAAUCUGACAUAAUAAUCUGAAUACCCUUGUUUUAAUGCUAGCUAACCUAAUAAUUUUUAAAGUUUUCUGUUUUGUUACCAAGAAUAGAAAAUACAUUUAUGUACAUUUUAUAGUGCAGGUUGUUGAGCUGGUUACUUAGGUAGCUUUCACCACACUGCACCCAAUAUAUAAAGGUCCCAACUUAAUUGACAAAAGCUAUCUCCAGAAAGAUAAAAUGGUACAUUAAAUAAAAGAAAAUAAAAAAUUACAAUAGCUUUUCAUUUCAAUCCUAAAAGUAUCACAGCAGCAGGAAAACUGCUAGCAUGUUUGUGGUCAACAUCUGACAGUUGCCAACGGGAUGAUAUCUACAGGGAAAAGAAUUCGAGUUCUCAUGGAUACCCUGCUACAUGGCUGUUAUGUCAUUGACUAUUUUACUAGCUUGAUGCUUUGAUGCUUAAUGCUUUAGAUGGUGGCAUCAGCAUCAUACAGAAUGAACUUGUGAUAUAUUUAUAAUAUGCCAUCCAUAUGCUUGUGAAGUUGUUUAAAAUUUUUUAAGUCUGAGAAAAACAUCAAAAAUAGAUAAAAGAAGAAUUUUUGACAGCCAAAUAACAGCUACAAUAAUCCUGUCUAGAUUAUGUACAGGGAUUUGAACAUGGGAUGUUCGGAACAAUGUUCUGGUGAGAAGCAUUGGUAACAGGAGUGGUAAUAUAUCCCUAAAAAGGCUCAGAGAAGAAACUUUAAAGUAUUGGUACAGAAGGUGAAGCACCAUUUCAAGAAAAAUUAUACAAAAAUUUGAUCAAUUUGCACAAAAAUCCACAUAAUUGAUCUGCUUAUGGAACAUCUUGUAUUUUACUAAUCUCUUAUUACUUGUAUUAUAAUAUGAUUUUACACUGGAAAUAAUGACCUACCAGCAGCAGCUGAAAGACAGAAGGAAUCUGUGUGAACCAUCAGUUCUUUAGGAACUGGUAGAUGUUUUUGUUUGUUUGUUUCCUGAAACAGUAAUGAGUGCAGUCUGAUAGCUAAAGAUAAAUCUUAGCUGUAGCAGCAAAAUUUGUACAGUUGCUCCAGCCACAGGUGCCAUGAGCUGGCAGUAGUAGGCAAAUGUGGCUGCCAUCACAUACCUACACUUUCAGAGCAAGGCUCCCUGGCAGAGAUUGGCAUUUCUGCUGUCUGCUAGGAAUGGCAAUGUAUUGCUAGACGGAUUAUACUAUACUCCUAUGCUGCUCAUGACUAUUCAUGUACUAGAGGAAUUAAGGAACUACCCAUUAGGACUAAGAUUUCAGGAAACCCGCAAAGUGUUUUGAACUGAAGAAGCACAGGAGAUGCAUACGAUAAAAAAAGAAAGCAUUCAUGUUUGCUGUUGAUGCUUAG
ensembl:lncRNA